rnacentral:rRNA from 1 species
AUUGAACGCUGGCGGCAGGCUUAACACAUGCACGUCGAGCGAGCGGCGGACGGGUGAGUAAUGUCUGGGAAACUGCCUGAUGGAGGGGGAUAACUACUGGAAACGGUAGCUAAUACCGCAUACCAUCAGAUGUGCCCAGAUGGGCUUAGCUUGUAGGUGGGGUAACGGCUCACCUAGGCGACGAUCCCUAGCUGGUCUGAGAGGAUGACCAGCCACACUGGAAAGGAGACACGGUCCAUACUCCUACGGGAGGCAGCAGUGGGGAAUAUUGCACAAUGGGCGCAAGCCUGAUGCAGCCAUGCCGGGUGUAUGAAGAAGGCCUUGGGGUUGUAAAGCACGUUCAGCGAGGAGGCGUUACUCGCAGAAGAAGCACCGGCUAACUCCGUGCCAGCAGCCGCGGUAAUAC